UUUAGAUACAACUAGUAUCUACCAUUUUUACUUCAUUGUGUACAUUUGAAUGUUCAAUUACUCUAGUCAUGAGUUACUUUUAGGUUUUUCUGAGAUCGUUUCUUUUUUCUUGAUGAUUUAUGUUUUAUCAUCCUACAGAUAUUUGCCUUCAUAAUAGAGAAGUCUCUCAGACCGUAGCGUUCCUCACACGUUUGAAAAAGGCCUUUCAGAUAAUAUAUCAGAGGGGCUCUGGGACAUCAAGAUUCUUAGAAAAAGGCUUCUCAGACCAGGUGGAGAGUCAAGUUUGGAAUGACAGUUCCAUCAGAAUAAAACUAUGCUUCUAGAGCACUUCGAAAAAAUUAAGCAACUCCUAACUUAUUCAUCCACCUUUCUCUGUGACAUCUUGGCAAAGAAUCUCAUCUUCUGAAGGAAACAACUUGAAUCCAGGAUAAAAUAAGCAAAAUGUCAUAUGGGACAUAUCUGCCAGAAGGCAAGACAAAUAUCUGCUUAAUAAGACACGCAGUUAACAGAGGAGCCAUCCAGACUCACAUACAAUGACCAGCCUGACACACUGGGUCAAGAACAGGACAGCAACAAAGGAGCUGUUCCUGGGGCAUACAGCCAGCCUCCAGCCACUCCAGCAACUCUCCAAGUGCCCAAGACCCAGAUAAGUAUCUCACUUCCAAGGCCAAAGUUUUCUGCUAUUUCCAAUUAUGGUUCUGUCAAUGUGCUAUCAAGGACCCUGGGAGGGCAACUUGAGUGAGAAAGGGCUGAAUGCACAUUCUCAAAGAUGUAUUUGAGAUAAACAAAUUAUUCAUAGAACCUGAUAAUGGAAGAUUUCAUUUUGCUUUUCUUCAGGAAAAAAAAAACAACAACCCAGAAUCUCAAAAUUUUUGUAUACUCUCUAAACCUGAAUCCAUAGACAAACAACUGUACCUCUUUGUUUCUCAGAUUCCAUUGGUCCCAGAGCUUCAAACUCUAAGAGGCUCCUAUCUAAGUUUAGACAAUUUCUUUACAGUGGACACACAUACGAAGACUUCUAAACUUUACUACUCAAAGGCUUAUCCAUGGGCCAGUAGCAAUCUCAUUACAGGGGAGUUUUUAGAAAUGCAGAAUCUCAGGACCUGCAUCAAACCUCCUUAAUCUGAAUCUGCAUUUUGACAAAAUUUCCAGGUAAUUCGUAUGCAUAUAAAAGUUUGAGAAGCACUAGGUUAAGACAUAAUGAAGAACAUAUUUUUGAUCCCUUCAUCAGUUACUUUCUGUGAUCCUUGGCCACAGGCCCCAUCAUAAAAACAGGUGAAAAUAUUAAUGGCAUAAUAUGUUUAGCCCAUUCCCAAAAAAACAUAUAUGCACGUGUGGGUAUUUAGAUAUGCACUAUAAUUUAAAAAUCCUGGAUUUGCUACUAACCCUAUUUUGAGAAACUCAAAGAGUAUGUCUUAUGAACCCUGAGAAAGUGGCUCUAUUAUUCAGUAGGCUAUUAAUUUCACACUAGAUCUCUAUAUUAAAUCACACCUGCUGAGUUAAUGAUAAUAUCAUGUGUGAUACACUGUCUAUCUUGAGAGAUGACAGGUACAAAAUGCUCUGGGUGUACUGUAUAUUCGUAGAGCACACAAGAAUGAUAAAUUGAUAGCUAUUCUCCCCCGUGAAUCUCUUCCAAAGCUGGAUUCUCCUCUCUCAACAGCAACUCCCUCCUGUUUGAGUUCUUGUAAAAAUUAGCUUCCCUACAGAUCAGUGUGACCAUCCUGGAUGAAGAGAGAAUUCAAGGGCCACAAAAUCAAAAGCCUGAGAAGUUCAUCUACAAAAGAGCUCUGGACACAUGUGCUUUUCUACAUCCUGAGCUAUGCCUGCCCUCCUGGGACUCAUGGAUACCGUUUACAGACCACAGAGAUCAGUCACCUCCCUUUCUUCUUUCCUUCCUUGUGGGAAAUCAGGAGAGUAUUUUAUUUGUAUAUACCUUGGGAAAAGAUUUGAAUCAGUGCUGAACAACUAACUCUCUAGAAAAAGUCAUGAUGGG
ensembl:lncRNA